rnacentral:lncRNA from 1 species
AUAGGUUCAAAUCCUGUCUCUGUAAGUUCCUGGAUGUGUGACUUCUGAACAUGUUAUUUUACUCAUUCACAUUUGUUUCCUCAUGUGUCAUAGAUUUGGCAAUACUUGGAAGAUUAUUGUGAGGAUAAAAUGAGAGUAUAUAUGUAGUACGUACUACAGUGGCUGGGUUGAAAAUUUGCCACUUUGCCAACAAAAUCUUAUUUACAAUGAAGCUAACUACCAAAAAAAAAGUCCUUAUGAAAAUAAUUACAGAUGCUAGUACAGUACACAGCACCAAAUAGA